rnacentral:misc_RNA from 1 species
UUUCCGUAGGUGAACCUGCGGAUGGAUCAUUAAUGUGUUUGGGCCUCACGGCUCUUCAUUCCGACGCUGUGCGCCUUCGGGCUGCACGCUGAGGGAGCAUAUAUCCACCCCUGUGCACACACACGGUGGCGAGCUGGGUAACGGCUCGCCGCUGAUCUUUACACACGUCUAAAAGUCAUUGUAUGUUUAUUUGAGAUAAAAACACAACUUUCAGCAACGGAUCUCUUGGCUCUC